rnacentral:rRNA from 1 species
GACGAACGCUGGCGGCGUGCUUAACACAUGCAAGUCGAGCGGUAAGGCCCUUUCGGGGGUACACGAGCGGCGAACGGGUGAGUAACACGUGGGUGACCUGCCCUUAGCUCUGGGAUAAGCCUGGGAAACUGGGUCUAAUACCGGAUAUGACUCCAUGACGCAUGUUGUGGGGUGGAAAGCCUUGUGCGGCUAGGGAUGGGCCCGCGGCCUAUCAGCUUGUUGGUGGGGUGAUGGCCUACCAAGGCGACGACGGGUAGCCGGCCUGAGAGGGCGACCGGCCACACUGGGACUGAGACACGGCCCAGACUCCUACGGGAGGCAGCAGUGGGGAAUCUUGCGCAAUGGGCGAAAGCCUGACGCAGCGACGCCGCGUGGGGA